CAAACCCAGUGCUUGCACUGGGGGUUGUAGGACUGCAAUGUGCAAGAGGUGAGUUUAGCAGAACAUUCUGGAAAGUAUAGCCAUAGAGGGUGAUAGUCCCGUAUGCGAAAAACAAACCUUAGCUAGCAGUAUCCUGAGUAGGGCGGGACACGAGAAAUCCUGUCUGAAGCUGGGUCGACCACGAUCCAACCCUAAAUACUAAUACCAGAUCGAUAGUGCACAAGUACCGUGAGGGAAAGGUGAAAAGAACUGAGGUGAUCAGAGUGAAAUAGAACCUGAAACCAUUUGCUUACAAUCAUUCAGAGCCCUAUGUAGCAAUACAGGGUGAUGGACUGCCUUUUGCAUAAUGAGCCUGCGAGUUGUGGUGUCUGGCAAGGUUAAGCAAACGCGAAGCCGUAGCGAAAGCGAGUCUGAAUAGGGCGCUUAGUCAGAUGCUGCAGACCCGAAACGAAGUGAUCUAUCCAUGAGCAAGUUGAAGCUAGUGUAAGAACUAGUGGAGGACUGAACCCAUAGGCGUUGAAAAGCCCCGGGAUGACUUGUGGAUAGGGGUGAAAGGCCAAUCAAACUUCGUGAUAGCUGGUUCUCUCCGAAAUAUAUUUAGGUAUAGCGUUGUGUCGUAAUAUAAGGGGGUAGAGCACUGAAUGGGCUAGGGCAUACACCAAUGUACCAAACCCUAUCAAACUCCGAAUACCUUAUAUGUAAUCACAGCAGUCAGGCGGCGAGUGAUAAAAUCCGUCGUCAAGAGGGAAACAACCCAGACUACCAGCUAAGGUCCCUAAAUCUUACUUAAGUGGAAAACGAUGUGAAGUUACUUAAACAACCAGGAGGUUGGCUUAGAAGCAGCCAUCCUUUAAAGAAAGCGUAAUAGCUCACUGGUCUAGUGAUUUUGCGCGGAAAAUAUAACGGGGCUAAAGUAAGUACCGAAGCUGUAGACUUGCACACAACUUAGAUUAUUUAAGUUUAGAAUAUGAGAAACUAAGUUAUAUGUUUAGUUAUAUUUUUACUGAUUUUUAUAGAGUAAAGAUAGAAAUAAAACUUAGUAAAAUCAGUAAAAAUAUUCUUAGACUAAAGUUAAGUAGUUUAAGUUGUGUGCAAGUGGUAGGAGAGCGUUCUAUUUGCGUCGAAGGUAUACCGGUAAGGAGUGCUGGAGCGAAUAGAAGUGAGCAUGCAGGCAUGAGUAGCGAUAAUUAAUGUGAGAAUCAUUAACGCCGUAAACCCAAGGUUUCCUACGCGAUGCUCGUCAUCGUAGGGUUAGUCGGGUCCUAAGUCGAGUCCGAAAGGGGUAGACGAUGGCAAAUUGGUUAAUAUUCCAAUACCAACAUUAGUGUGCGAUGGAAGGACGCUUAGGGCUAAGGGGGCUAGCGGAUGGAAGUGCUAGUCUAAGGUCGUAGGAGGUUGUACAGGCAAAUCCGUAUAACAAUACUCCGAGAACUGAAAGGCUUUUUGAAGUCUUCGGAUGGAUAGAAGAACCCCUGAUGCCGUCGAGCCAAGAAAAGUUUCUAAGUUUAGCUAAUGUUGCCCGUACCGUAAACCGACACAGGUGGGUGGGAUGAGUAUUCUAAGGCGCGUGGAAGAACUCUCUUUAAGGAACUCUGCAAAAUAGCACCGUAUCUUCGGUAUAAGGUGUGGUUCGCUUCGUAUUAGGAUUUACUCCGAAAGCGAAGAAACUUACAACAAAGAGUCCCUCCCGACUGUUUACCAAAAACACAGCACUCUGCUAACUCGUAAGAGGAUGUAUAGGGUGUGACGCCUGCCCGGUGCUCGAAGGUUAAUUGAUGGGGUUAGCAUUAGCGAAGCUCUUGAUCGAAGCCCGAGUAAACGGCGGCCGUAACUAUAACGGUCCUAAGGUAGCGAAAUUCCUUGUCGGUUAAAUACCGACCUGCAUGAAUGGCGUAACGAGAUGGGAGCUGUCUCAAAGAGGGAUCCAGUGAAAUUGUAGUGGAGGUGAAAAUUCCUCCUACCCGCGGCAAGACGGAAAGACCCCGUGGACCUUUACUACAGCUUGACACUGCUACUUGGAUAAGAAUGUGCAGGAUAGGUGGGAGGCUUUGAGUAUAUGACGCCAGUUGUAUAUGAGCCAUUGUUGAGAUACCACUCUUUCUUAUUUGGGUAGCUAACCAGCUUGAGUUAUCCUCAAGUGGGACAAUGUCUGGUGGGUAGUUUGACUGGGGCGGUCGCCUCCCAAAUAAUAACGGAGGCUUACAAAGGUUGGCUCAGAACGGUUGGAAAUCGUUCGUAGAGUAUAAAGGUAUAAGCCAGCUUAACUGCAAGACAUACAAGUCAAGCAGAGACGAAAGUCGGUCUUAGUGAUCCGGUGGUUCUGUGUGGAAGGGCCAUCGCUCAAAGGAUAAAAGGUACCCCGGGGAUAACAGGCUGAUCUCCCCCAAGAGCUCACAUCGACGGGGAGGUUUGGCACCUCGAUGUCGGCUCAUCGCAUCCUGGGGCUGGAGCAGGUCCCAAGGGUAUGGCUGUUCGCCAUUUAAAGCGGUACGCGAGCUGGGUUCAGAACGUCGUGAGACAGUUCGGUCCCUAUCUGCCGUGGGCGUAAGAAGAUUGAAGAGAUUUGACCCUAGUACGAGAGGACCGGGUUGAACAAACCACUGGUGUAGCUGUUGUUCUGCCAAGAGCAUCGCAGCGUAGCUAAGUUUGGAAAGGAUAAACGCUGAAAGCAUCUAAGCGUGAAGCCAACUCUAAGAUGAAUCUUCUCUAAGCUCUCUAGAAGACUACUAGUUUGAUAGGCUGGGUGUGUAAUGGAUGAAAGUCCUUUAGCUGACCAGUACUAAUAGAGCGUUUGGCUUAUCUUUAAUAAAGCAU
rnacentral:rRNA from 1 species